UACGGAGGGUGCAAGCGUUAUCCGGAUUCACUGGGUUUAAAGGGUGCGUAGGCGGGCAGGUAAGUCCGUGGUGAAAUCUCUGAGCUUAACUCAGAAACUGCCAUGGAUACUAUUUGUCUUGAAUAUUGUGGAGGUAAGCGGAAUAUGUCAUGUAGCGGUGAAAUGCUUAGAUAUGACAUAGAACACCAAUCGCGAAGGCAGCUUACUACACAGUUAUUGACGCUGAGGCACGAAAGCGUGGGGAUCAAACAGG
rnacentral:rRNA from 1 species